rnacentral:lncRNA from 1 species
CAUUGUACAGGUCAUAACAUUGUACAGUCAUAUCAUUGUACAGUCAUAUCAUUGUACAGUCAUAUCAUUGUACAGUCAUAUCAUUGUACAGUCAUAUCAUUGUACAGUCAUAUCAUUGUACAGUCAUAUCAUUGUACAGGUCAUAACAUUGUACAGGUCAUAUCAUUGUACAGUCAUAUCAUUGUACAGUCAUAUCAUUGUACAGUCAUAUCAUUGUACAGUCAUAUCAUUGUACAGUCACAUCAUUGUACAGUCAUAUCAUUGUACAGUCAUAUCAUUGUACAGGUCAUAACAUUGUACAGUCAUAACAUUGUACAGUCAACAUUGUACAGUCAUAACAUUGUACAGGUCAUAACAUUGUACAGGUCAUAACAUUGUACAGUCAUAACAUUGUACAGUAUGCCUUGAACACACUGAAGAAAACAAAACCAUUAUUAGUACUGUGUUGUCCUGUGCCAAUAGAAUAUAAAGUACUUCUUGUUUUGCAAAAGCACACAAGUCCAAACUCCACACCACUAACAUCAGUAUGUGCCCUGGGGCUGGUCUAGCAGAUAGGUCUGUGGCCUGCAGCACACAUCUCCCUCCCAGUGUGGGUUGGGGCUGGUCUAGCAGAUACGUCUGUGGCCUGCAGCACACAUCUCCCUCCCUGUGUGGGUUGGGGCUGGUCUAGCAGAUACGUCU